CCUAUAGGGAUCAGACCCACCCAUGGAGGCCAGACCCUAUAGGGACCCUCCCCCCCCACCCCACUGAUCCCCUAUAGACCUCACCCUAUAGGGACCGGCCCCCUCACCUCCUUCCCUCCCCUCUCCAGGUUCUGGGGGAAGUUCCCGGACCAGAGCGACGCUGAGACAGGUGGGUGACAACGAGGGACAGCCUUGGGGACGUGGGUGACAAUAAACCGGUGACAAAA